rfam:Rattus norvegicus chromosome 1, whole genome shotgun sequence.
UCGGAGGACAGCAGACUCAGGUCGAAAUCGGGACCUGAGUCUGCGCUCCUCUCCAGC